UGCUGAAAAAGUCACUCCUAGGAAUGGAACUUUAUUUUCAGUUUUCACAGUGGCCUGCUGAAAAAGUCACUCCUAGGAAUGGAACUUUAUUUUCAGUUUUCACAGUGGCCUGCUGAAAAAGUCACUCCUAGGAAUGGAACUUUAUUUUCAGUUUUCACAGUGGCCUGCUGAAAAAGUCACUCCUAGGAAUGGAACUUUAUUUUCACAUACACUCAGCGUGUAAUAUUGUAGCUUUUCAAGUAUCUCUAAUCGGAGACUAUCAAACGAAGCUCAUCCAUCUUAUUCUCGAGUGACUGGACAUUUUCCAAAAGCACGAAGGGGGGGGAGUGUGCCGUUCGGUUUUCUCUUCGCAUCAAUUUCACCAGGACUCCACCUCGUCGUCUCCCGCGUCUCUACGCCUGCAGCGUUUUGGUAGCCUAUGGAACAAAGGGUCCGGUAGGAACUGUGGAAUAGCUGAGUCGGAGUUGAAGUCAUAUUUCUGUACUUUUCUCAAAAAGCUGAGAUAUUUUAAUGUAGACUGAACUAUACUGACACUGUUUUAUAAAUCUUUCAUUGAGAGUAUUUUAACUUUUUGUAUUGUUUUGUUGGUUUGGCAAUGCCACCGUCAGCCAGAGAAAUAUGCUGAGAGGGAUUAUCACCACAGCAAGCAAGGUACUUGGAGUCAAACAGACAGGCCUGGAUGAGGUCUUUAAGGUCAGGGCCCUCAGCAAAGUACUUGGAUUCAAACAGACAGGCCUGGAUGAGGUCUUUAAGGUCAAGGCCCUCCCCAAGGUACUUGGAUUCAAACAGACAGGCCUGGAUGAGGUCUUUAAGGUCAGGGCCCUCAGCAAAGUACUGGGAGUCCAACAGACAGGCCUGGAUGAGAUCUUUAAGGUCCCUCCCCAAGGUACUUGGAGUCAAACAGACAGGCCUGGAUGAGAUCUUUAAGGUCAGGGCCCUUGCCAAGGUACUUGGAGUCAAACAGACAGGCCUGGAUGAGAUCUUUAAGGUCAGGGCCCUCCGUAAGGUUCACAAAAUCAUUUUAGACCCAAGCCACCCCCUGUACCCGGACUUUGAACUAUUCCCCUCUGGGUGCAGGUAUAGGGCACCCCUCAGCAGGAAAAACACAACUAGACAAUAAUUUGUGCCAGGUGUGAUAUCCCUCCUAAAUAGCUCGGGCUAAUGUUCCUAUCCACCCAGUAAGGCUAACAGGCUAAUGUUCCUAUCCACCCAGUAAGGCUAACAGGCUAAUGUUCCUAUCCACCCAGUAAGGCUAACAGGCUAAUGUUCCUAUCCACCCAGUAAGGCUAACAGGCUAAUGUUCCUAUCCACCCAGUAAGGCCAGCAGGCUAAUGUUCCUAUCCACCCAGUAAGGCUAACAGGCUAAUGUUCCUAUCCACCCAGUAAGGCUAACAGGCUAAUGUUCCUAUCCACCCAGUAAGGCUAACAGGCUAAUGUUCCUAUAGACUCAGUAAGGCCAGCAGGCUAAUGUUCCUAUCCACCCAGUAAGGCCAGCAGGCUAAUGUUCCUAUAGACUCAGUAAGGCCAGCAGGCUAAUGUUCCUAUCCACCCAGUAAGGCCAGCAGGCUAAUGUUCCUAUCCACCCAGUAAGGCCAGCAGGCUAAUGUUCCUAUCCACCCAGUAAGACCAGCAGGCUAAUGUUCCUAACCACUCAGUAAGGACAGCAGGCUAAUGUUCCUAUCCACUCAGUAAGGCUAGCAGGCUAAUGUUCCUAUCCACUCAGUAAGGCUAACAGGCUAAUGUUCCUAUCCACCCAGUAAGGCCAGCAGGCUAAUGUUCCUAUCCACCCAGUAAGGCCAGCAGGCUAAUGUUCCUAUCCACCCAGUAAGGCUAACAGGCUAAUGUUCCUAUCCACCCAGUAAGGCUAACAGGCUAAUGUUCCUAUCCACCCAGUAAGGCCAGCAGGCUAAUGUUCCUAUCCACCCAGUAAGGCCAGCAGGCUAAUGUUCCUAUCCACCCAGUAAGGCUAACAGGCUAAUGUUCCUAUCCACCCAGUAAGGCCAGCAGGCUAAUGUUCCUAUAGACUCAGUAAGGCCAGCAGGCUAAUGUUCCUAUCCACCCAGUAAGGCCAGCAGGCUAAUGUUCCUAUCCACCCAGUAAGGCCAGCAGGCUAAUGUUCCUAUCCACCCAGUAAGGCCAGCAGGCUAAUGUUCCUAUAGACUCAGUAAGGCCAGCAGGCUAAUGUUCCUAUCCACCCAGUAAGGCCAGCAGGCUAAUGUUCCUAUAGACUCAGUAAGGCCAGCAGGCUAAUGUUCCUAUCCACCCAGUAAGGCCAGCAGGCUAAUGUUCCUAUCCACCCAGUAAGGCCAGCAGGCUAAUGUUCCUAUCCACCCAGUAAGGCCAGCAGGCUAAUGUUCCUAUCCACCCAGUAAGGCCAGCAGGCUAUUUUUUUAUUGUUAUGUAACUGUUAUGAAAGUUGUAUUGUCAAUUUUGUUUUUGUAUUUAAACGCCACUUUAAAUGUGUACAUGACACUGCAACAAAAUUUCCCCAUGGGGACAAUAAAGUCAGAAAGUACGUUUUUGAAGUCAAAAUGGAGGUUAAUAACUGUUUAUCUGAUGUCCAGAAGUGAUUGGUGGUCAUAUGUGAUAAUAGUAGGAUCUUUCUGUACAAAAAAAUAAAUAAAAAAUAUCGCAAAGUUGGGUUGGAACUCGUAAGAUGUCGCUCUUUUCCGUUGGUGCCAUCUUGGAGAGGAGAGGAGAGGAGAGGAGAGGAGACUACAGUAGAGUAGAGUAGAGUAGAGUAGAGUAGAGGAGAGGAGAGGAGAGGAGAGGAGAGGAGAGGAGAGGAGAGGAGAGGAGAGGAGAGGAGAGGAGAGGAGAGGAGAGGAGAGGAGAGGAGAGGAGAGGAGACUACAGUAGAGUAGAGUAGAGUAGAGUAGAGUAGAGAGUAGAGUAGAGUAGAGUAGAGUAGAGUAGAGUAGAGUAGAGUAGAGGAGAGGAGAGGAGAGGAGAGGAGAGGAGAGGAGAGGAGAGGAGAGUAGAGUAGAGUAGAGUAGAGUAGAGGAGAGGAGAGGAGAGGAGAGGAGAGGAGAGGAGAGGAGAGGAGAGGAGACUACAGUAGAGUAGAGUAGAGUAGAGUAGAGUAGAGUAGAGUAGAGGAGAGGAGAGGAGAGGAGAGGAGAGGAGAGGAGAGGAGAGGAGAGUCUGUGUGUGUGUGUGUGUGUGUGUGUGUGUGUGUGUGUGUGUGUGUGUGUGUGUGUGUGUGUGUGUGUGUGUGUGUGUGUGUGAAUCUUGUCAGGCAACAAGGUAGACCACACACCAGUCCGCUGGCCCUCCUAAG
rnacentral:lncRNA from 1 species